rnacentral:lncRNA from 1 species
AGAGAUAUGGAUCAGUGCCGCGAGUUUAUAUUGUUUGUACGGAGGAUUUAAUGAUGCUUGCCUCAUUUCAGCGGUGGAUGGUUGAGCAAAAUGGGGUAAAGGAAGUGAUGGAGAUUCCUGCAGAUCAUAUGCCAGUUUUUUCCACGCCUGCAGAACUCUGCCAUUCUAUACUGGAGUUGGCCCGUAAGCAUGCUUAGAUUGCAUAUACGCCACGUAUCCUUAGCUGGUGUGCUUAUUAUGUAUGUGAUAGUUGUGCAACCCAUCUUGGCUGCAUUUGCUUCGGAUUUGUGUGAGAUUGUAGAAGGAAUCGGGUUGUUUUUAUUUUUUAUUUUUGGCUAUUAAAGAAAAAGAAAAUAGGAGAAAUAAAUGGAGAUGGAUUGAGUUUGUUAUGUGUGUUCACAGAGAAUUCAAAAGAUUUUAACUUGACCUAGCUACUUGAUAAGUGAUGAUUGGGAAUGAAAAUAAUCCUUAUCAGGUUGACGUGCCCUGUGUUUUUCCUGGAAAGUGAGAGGAGGUCUCUUAACUCUGGUGGGGAAUGGUGGUAGAACCUGGAGGCGAUGUAGCUGUGACCAAGAACUAAGGCAGUUGGAGGGUUGUCAGGGCCAUUACCAUACACAUAUUUCGUAUCCAUGUAGGAGAUUGAUCUUUGAGAAGGCUGCAUGUUUUCGAGAAGUACGUAAGAUUAUAUUUAUGUUAAUAAAAUAUAAAUAGGUAAUAAAAUACAAACCAGCAACAAAAUCCCGAAAAUGUUAGAAAGCUCUCCUCAAGUAAAUCUCUAAGCAGCAUCAUGCCUUACCCUGUAAGUCUAUAACCACAUCCAACAGGUUACUUGACAUUUGUUCAUGCUACUUAAACUCAUCUGUUCUGAAAGAACUAGCAACUUAAAUUGAUAACAAACAGCAUAUCCAACCGAUCCUAUUCUGUAAGAAUUUAUAACCAGAACCAUAGCAUAUACAACAGUAUCAUCAAUCUUCAUGCCUUGGACAAAAUCUAACUAGUUACAGCAAAUAAAGUUGGAAACCAGCUAUUUGGUCCCACUGACAGGACCUGGCAAAUUACAGCAGAUUUAUAACUACUAGUAUUGCAGCCAGAAAAAUGGCUAAAAGCCUAAAUCCCCUAUCUUAAGAGUACUUUUUAGUUUGGAGAAGAAGAUACCACUUAACUGUCUUGAAAGUCUCUUACAUGGAGAAACAGAAAGAAUGGCUGCUCUCUUCCAUGCGAGUCGCAAUACCAUGUUCAUCUGACCUCGACAACCAUGGAUACCAUGUUAAUUGCAUAUCAAUUAGUUAGCAGAGAGAGACGUAUGUUGAUCUAUAUUAUUGAAUACUAGCUCAAUUAGCAGAACAACAAUAUGUUUUGCAAUCAAUCCUUUAUUCAGUUUAAUCCAUCUUCAGGAUACUGCAAUAAAAAACUUUCGUACUUGAGCGAAGUUCUCAGGAACAUACCCUGUUAAAAUUACCCUUACAAGGACCCCUAUUUUCUUGUGCAAUUUAUCAACUCAUUACCUAUUGAUUAUGGUCUUUUUAAAAUGAAUUAUAAAAAUGAUAAAGAGUAUUUUCUAUAAAAAAAACCUAGAUAUUUUCACAAAGAUUGUGAAAUGUAAGGAAUGGUGAAAGAAUUUAAGCCUGGUGCUAGUGCUUUUGUGUGUUUGGAAACAAAUUUAUUUAAGGUUUCUUAUAAUAGUUUAUGGAUUUAUUCAUGUUGUAAUUUCUUGAAAUCAUAUAUAUAUACAUGUGUGUGUGGUCUUUUUUAUGUUACUUCUUUCAAUAAAAAAAAAAUACAUUAUAACCUAUAUUGAUGACUGCUCACAUUAUGGAUAUGUUUAUUUGUUGCAUGACAACUCUCAAGCAAUAGAUGCCUUUGAGGUAUUUGUUAAUGAGUUUGAAAGACAAAUAACUAUGAAUAUGAAAGUUGUCAAGUCAGAUAGAGAUCACGAAUAUUAUGAAAGAUAUAAUGAGACUGCAUAAUAACAAGGUUUAUUCUCCAAAUUCUUUAUGAAUUGUGGCAUAUAUUCUUAAUACACAAUGCUAAGUACACCAUAAAAAAAUUAUGUCACAGAAAAGUAUAAUCAUGCUUUAUUAGAUAUAGUUAGGAGUAUGUUAAGUCAUUCAUUUGUACCAACAUCAUUGUUGAUGUUUAUAUUGAAAAAUGUUAGGAAUUUAUUAAAUAUACUUCCUAAUAAAGCAAUUCCAAAACACCUAAUGAAUUGUGGGUGGAUGAAAAACCUAGUUUAAGACACUUACAUGUUUAAGGUUGCCAUGCAAAAGUAAGAAUUUAUAAUUUACAUGAAAAGAAAUUGGAUUCAAUUAGAACAGCUAGUGUAUUCUUCUUUUGUUAUCCCAAAAAAAUAUGCAAGGUAUAGAUUUUAUUUUCUUAAUCAUAACACAAGAAUUGUUUAAACAUAAAAUACUAUUUUCAUUGAAAUUUAUGAAGUUAAUGGGAGUGAAAUAUCGUGUAAUAUAAGAAUUCAAGAAAGUAGGGUAUAAGUUCCCUUACUCUCUAUAUAUUCUAAAGUUGUUCCUCAAAUUAUUGAAUAGUUUAAAUCAAGGACAAUAAUUAAUGAUUAUACACCUUACAAUGAGAACAUUGUUGAUGACCCUAUAAUAGAUGAGCCACAAGAAAUAGUAAUAAUUAGAAACGUGGCUCGUGCUACGCUGCGGAUCAAUUUUUUUAUAUAAAAAAUAUUCAAAAAAGUUAAAAUUUAAGUGUUAGUUUUUCUACAAAGUUAUACAUAAGAGCAUUAGGUCUAUCUGUUACUCCUAAUCUAAAAGUUAUAUUUAUAAUAUUAUAUAAAAGCAUUAGAUCUACAAAUUUUUUUUUAUUUACUUAUCAAACUUUCACUACAUAAAUCUAAGGUUUGAUGGGUUAACCUGGUUUGAAGGGUUAACCCAGUUAAUUUAGUUUUUUUUUUCUUUUUCUUCAUUAGUUUUUUUCAUCCAAUUUCAUCUUUUAAUAUUAUAAUUAACUCAUAGUGAAAAGGCCGGGCUUUUUUUUUUAUGAAUAUAUUUGUUUGUUAAUGUUAAAUUUUUUUUCUAUUUAGUUAUCAAAUUUUUAUGACACGGAUUCCGGGUUUGACGGAUUAACUCGGAUUUUUUUUUGUUUUUCUUUUUAAUUAAUUUUUUUGUUUAAUUUAGUUUGUUAAUGUUAAAUUUUUUUUUAUUUAGUUAGCAAACUUUUAUGUCACGAAUCUUGGGUUUGACGGGUUAACCCGGCUAAUUCUGGGUUAACUCGUAAAUAUUUUUUUUCCUAUUCAGUUAUCAAACUUUCAUGACACAAAUUGCAGGUUUAACUGAUAAACCUGAUUUGAAGGGUUAACCCUGUUAAUUCAGAUUUUUUCUUCUAUUUCUUCAUUAGUUUUUUUCUUCAUGUAGGCUUUCUUUGCUUUAUAACCUGAUUUGGUGGGUCAACCCAGUUGAUUCAAAUUUUUUUUUCUUCAUUGGUUUUUUUCUUUCAAUUUCAUCUUUAAAUAUUGCAGUUAACUAUAACAAAAAGGCAUCAACCUUUUUUUUUCCAUAUUUGAUGGGUUAAACCAGUUGAUUCAGAUUUUUUUUUUUUUUAAGUAGUUUUUUUCUUUGAAUUUCAUCUUUUAAUAUCGAUUUAAUUAAAAAUUAAACUUUAUGAUUUAUUUUAUUUACUGUUCAUUAGAUUAUUGUGAUCUCAUGAGGGGAUUUUAUUGCACCCCUCCUUGCAAAGCACUAUUUAUCGGAAUAAUGCUUUACUUUAUUGUUUUUUUCUUUUCAAUUAAUCUUUUUUUUUUCAUUAUGUAAUAUUAAUUUUUUUUUCUUUUUAAUUAUCAUAUUUUUAUAACACAACCUUGCACCAGACCCAUAUCCAAGACUCCGGGUUUGAUGUUGCAACCAAACUUAUUUAAACUUAGGUCAUGCAAGUUUAAUAUUAUUAUUAAUAUUAUAAAUAUAACUUUUGGAUCAGGCGUAGCAGACAGACCUAAUAUUUUUAUAUAUAAUUUUAUAGAAAAACCUAACACUUUUAGAUUUUAAUUUUUUUUAUUUUUUUAUGCAAAACAAAAAAAUUUACCCGCGACGUAGCGCGAGCCACGUUUCUAAUCUUCUCUAAAAAGAAAAUAUGACAUGUGAUAAGAACAUUGGCAGAGCCACAUAGGGCAAGAGGGGGCAAUUGCCCCCUUCCCCCAAUGCAUAAAUGUAAUUCUCUGCUGGUACAACUUUUGCAGCAUAUUGAAAUUCAAAUUUGCAGGCUUUAGUACAAGUUUGAUGUGCAGUUCGUCUUUCUUGUAGCUGUUAUUCUAUAUUUUAUUUGCUGAUAAUUUUUACUCUGAAUUUGAUGUUCACUUUUCAAAGGGCUGUAACCAAUAACAUAAUAAGGGUUGUCCAAACAAAAACUUUCAUUAAAUAAAGUAGAAUUUUAAGAAUAACAGUUGGGAUCACAUAAGCCCAGGCAUAGUUAUUUAUAACUAGUUUAUUAUAUUAAAUUAUUAAUAUAAUAUUUUUAUUGGGUUAAUUGUUUUUUAGCUACUAAUUGAACCAGAUUCUUUAUUUUAUUUUUCAUUAAUAAUCUCAACUCGCUUCUUUCUAUAAAAUUUCUUUUCAGGCCUUAAGCUAUUAAUUAGUUAAGCAAUUAACCUCUUAUAUUUUAUGCUUUAAAAAAAAAUUUCAUCUUUUUUAUUUGUUUCAUUAUCUAAUUUUAGUUUUAUUUUUUUAUAAUUAGUUAUCGAAAAUGUAGGAUUUAUAAUAAUAUUGAAAAAGAUAUUUUUAAUGAGAUUAAAAAUAAAAUUAUUAUGAAGCAGUUUUAAAAUAUAAAAUCUUGAAGAGAUGUAAGUUUUUUUAUUUUAAAAGCAUUCUUAAAUUAAUUUACUUGACUUGAGUUGAUAUGUGUGUGUAUACAUAUAUAUAUUUCAAAUUAUUUUUUAUAUAUAACACAUGUAUGUAUAGUUAAUAAUUUGCCUCCUUAUUUAAAAAGUUCUAGCUCCGCCACUGAAUAAAAACAAGGGAAAACCUUUACUUCAUCAGGUGGAUUAUUUUCAAUCCUUCAUCUGUUAUGUUAUCUUGGUCACACACUGUAUAAACUCGUGGGCAGGACCAUAUUUAUCUUUUGUAAACUUGAUUUCUUUUUUAGUUGUCUCAAUGUUAAACAAAUGGAAAGGUGGUAGUAACAACAACAUUACAACGUAAGAUCCUGGUAAAGAUUAACAAAUCAGCAGUAUCAAAGAAAAUUCAACUAAAUACAACCAUAUUUAGGUAGCUCAUGGUGAAGUAAAAUAUACUUGAAUCAUGUAGAAAGAUAAAUACUCUUUACCUUUAUUGGGGAGAACUGGUGUCAGCCGAAACAAAAAGGACAUUGAAUGAUUCUUAGGCACAUUACUAAACAUAUAUUUAAGAGGAUGAUUAGGAGCGUGGUAGUGGUUGUUUUUUAAAUAACUUUUCGUGUCGAAAUGCAUGUCAAUAAUUUUUUUUAAAAAAAAAAAAAAAUUAUUUUUGACAUCAGCACAUCAAAACAAUUUAAAAAAUACAAACCGCACUCAAUUUUAACAAAAAAAACAUUUGAAUUUUUUGGAAACGUAAGUUGAACCGCGUUCCCAAAUAGCCUCUAAAUCCGUCAAAGAAUCCACUUGUUUCAUGUUGAUUUUGUGUUUGAUUUUGUAGUGGCAUAGUAAUUUGAAAAAAAUUAAUUUUUAAAAUUUAAAUUAAUUAUUUUUAAUAUUUUUAGAUUAUUUAAUGUGUUAAUGUUAAAAUAAAAAGUUUUAUAUUUUAAAAUAAAAAAAUAUUUUCAAAAACAAUUAUUAUCUAAACAUUUCCUAAUAAGAUAUUUCAAAAGAAAGAAAAUAUCACCAGCUAUCACACACGAAAAGUUAAAAAUGUACUUAUCACCAGCUAUCACACACGAAAAGUUAAAAAUGUACUUGUUCUAAGCUUUUUACAAUGUAUUGUACUAUAUUUUAGUGAUUCUAUUCAGCUAUAUAUCAUUGCUGUAUUGCGUGGACCAAAAUGCAAAUUUGAGGGAAAUUAAGAAUAGGCCUAUUAAGCUGACGUUUUGGAAAGUAGGCUUAUCUUAGGCACAAGGAUUUUAGUAGAGCUAGUUAUAACUUUACAUGUUGCUUUCGAGGAAACAACAAGUCUCUCCCAUUAAUUAUCUAAUACUCUAAAACAUGAGAAAAGUAUUAUAGUUUUUUCUAUAUAUUUUUUUGUUUAUAUAUUUUUUUUUCUAAAGAUUGUCUUUUUUUUAUUAUUAUUCUUUUUUAUUUUAUGUUUUUUUUUAAAUUAUCUUUCUUGAUUUUUUUUAAUAUUGAACUGGUUGAAAAUUUAGUUCUGUAGUUUUUUUUUUAAAAAACAUUAUGAAUUACUACAAUAUUUUUCUACAUAGUUUUUUUUCUUUUUUAUAUGAAUUUUUUUUUUAAAUGCUCUUUAUCGAUUUUUUUUUUUCAUAUUAAGCUAGUUGAGAAUUUUGCUUCGUAGUUUUUUUCAUUAAAACAUUGUGAAUUGUUAUAAUGUUUCUCCACAUGGUUUUUGUUUUGCCACAGUGUUUCUCCACAUGUUUUUUUCAAAAUUAUCUUUGUCGAAUUAAUUUUUUUUUAAUAUUGAGUUAGUUGAGAAUUUAGCUUUAACUUUCCCUACAUGUUUUUUUUUUCAUUUUUUUUAAUUUUUGCUUUUUUUUUUCUAAAAUUGUCUUCUUUUUUCUAUUUUUCUAUUUUAUUUUUUUGCAGAAUUGUUUUUGUUGAUUUUUUUUUAAUAUGGAGUUGGUUGAGAAUUUAGCUUUAUAGUUUUUUUUCUUUAAAAUAUUGUGAAUUGUUAUAAUGUUUCCCCACAUGGUUUUUUUUAUGAUUUUUUUCCAUAAUUGUCUUUGUCAAUUUUAUUUUUUUUACAUAUUGAGCUGGUUGAGAAUUUAGCUUUGUAGUUUUUUUAUAAAAAAAAACAUUGUGAAUUGCUACAGUGUUCCUCAACAUGAUUUGUUUUGUUAUGAAUUUUUUUAAAAUUAUUUUUAUUGAUUUUAUUAUUUUUAAUAUUGAACUAGUUAAGAUUUAUAAAUGUAGAUUUCCUCAUAAAACACUAUAGAUUGUUACGGUGUUUUCCUACAUGGUUUUUUUUUCCUUUUAUUUUUUUUCGUUAUGAUUUUUUCCAAAAGUUUCAUUGUUCAUUUUAUUUUUUAAAUAUUAAGCAGACUAAGAAUUUAGCUUUAUAGUUUUUUCCUUAAAACAUUGUAGACUGUAAUAAUUUUUUUCCAUAUAAUUUUUUUUUUCAUAAACCUAUAAUAACAUAUAAGUAUGCCACAAGUUCCUAACAUCGCGCGGGCAUGGCAUCUAGUAAUAAUUAAAAAAUGUAGUUAAAUUAUAAAGAAAUCACUAUUUAUUAGAAUAGCAUAGGGAUAAGUUUCUCUUCGAUCAAAAAAUACAAAGUUUUUCACGAGAGAUAAAAUAGCUUUAUAUAUCAUUAUUGAGUUCAUUGGGGAUAGCUUAGUCAUUUUCCAUAUAAUAGCACAUUAGAAUUAUUUAAAUGCCUUUAAAGGUAAAAAAUUUGUUAACUUGAAUUUAGGAGCUCAUUGGAUUUUUUACUUUGUUAAGCACAAUGUAAUGACUAUAUAGCCCUUAGAAUUUGAAAACAUUUAUCCUUCUUUUAAAGGGCUUAUUAGUAAUUUUCUCUUGGUUUUUUAUGGUUGUCAUGUGGUAUUACGGGCAAAUUAGUAUUUUUAUUAAACUACAAAAUAAAAUAAAAAAAUGGCUAUUGAUUUAGUUUUUUAUAGCAAUCCUUUAAUUUAAUUUUACUUGAGGUUUACUCCCUCUUAUUUUAAUUGCAUUUCUUUUAUUUCAAAUAAUUAUUUGAAUUUGGAAAUUGUUUUUAAAUUCAUUUUCCUUUAAUUUUUCUAAUCAUUUAUUCUGGUUUUCUUUAAAGGUACAGUAUUCACAUACUUAAUUUAAAAAUAUAACUUAAUCAGAUUUUAUAUUUGUUUUUUUUAAAAUUACCCAACACAAAUAUCAACAUAAUUAAUCUGAACAUUCACAGUGAAAAAAAAAGAAGAUAAAUAUAUAUACAUCAUGGCCUAGAUGGUGCUGGAUGAAAAGUAGGCCACUAGGACUGGACAUUUCCAACUUGUCAGCAUCUUCUCUCCCAAUAUACUCCACCGAGCAAUAGCAAAUAUCAGUAUCAAACAACAACAUCAAAAGAAUGGGAGAGGUCAACAAUCAAAAACAGCAUUUUGUUUUGAUCCAUGGUUCAGUUGCAGGAGCGUGGAUAUGGUACAAGGUCAAGCCAAGGCUAGAGGAAGCUGGCCACCGUGUCACAGCUCUUGACAUGGCUGCAUCAGGUGUGAACACACAAAAAAUUGAAGAAGUUCGUACUUUUGAUCUGUAUAAUGAGCCCUUGAUGGAGUUCAUGGCCAAAUUACCUGAAAAUGAAAAGGUUGUAUUGGUGGGGCACAGUUUAGGUGGCUUGAAUCUGGCUUUUGCUAUGGAGAAAUUCCCAGAGAAGGUUUCUCUUGCUGUUUUUCUUACUGCAAUCUUGCCUGAUACCGUGCACCAGCCAUCUUAUAUGUUAGAAAAGGUAUCUCUGUGUUGUUAUUAUUAUUAUUAUGAAGACCCCUUUUCCCCUUUCUAAUUAAGAUGGUCAUGCACGAAAAUGGGUUGAUCUAUUUUGUUUGGUUUCUCUAUUCGAGUAAAUGCUAUGAACAACCCUAGGUUUGACGAAAUCUGAUUUUGAAAAAAGAAUAAUUUUUAAGGUCUUGAGACUUCUUUUUUUUCAUUAAAGUAUUUCUUAGUUCACUGAUGAUAUCAAUUCGAACAGUAUCAAAUCAGAUGGAAUCACAGCCCUCACAUUAGUUAUUGAAGAGUGUGAGGGAGAUCGGCCUCUUGUAUAUAAGAUCUAAUGAAAGAUCCAAAAGGCUAAAAGGGAUAAUUGGUAUUCGAGAUGCUUGAUUAGCUUCAAUCUUUUGCUUAAUUCAAGAUGAGGUUUUAAUUCACACACAUGCAAAUGUAAAAGUCAUUAUCAAUCAUGUUCUAACAUCAAAAUGAUAUUUUGGCCUCCUUGUUAGUUUGCUGAAAUCGGUCCCAGGGACGAAGAGUGGCAAGACACUCUCUUUUCAUUCCAUGGAACCCCUGAAGAACCGCAUACAUGUGUUCACAUGGGAUUUGAGUUUAUGAAGUGCAAGCCCUUUCAUCUUUCCUCCGCUGAGGUACACAAAUCUUUCUUAAAAAUUAUGAAUCUUGGACUAGUUUUCAUUGUAAUAACCAGUUAUGAUACUGUUCUUGUUCGCAGGAUCUCGCUCUGCAGAUGCUCUUAAAUAGACCAGGAUCGAUGUUUGUGGAAAGCCUGUCCAAGGCAAAGAAGUUCACUGAUGAGAGAUAUGGAUCAGUGCCGCGAGUUUAUAUUGUUUGUACUGAGGAUUUAAUGAUGCUUGCCUCAUUUCAGCGUUGGAUGGUUGAGCAAAAUGGGGUAAAGGAAGUGAUGGAGAUUCCUGCAGAUCAUAUGCCAGUUUUUUCGACGCCUGCAGAACUCUGCCAUUCUAUACUGGAGUUGGCACGUAAGCAUGCUUAGAUGGCAUAUACGCCACGUAUCCUUAGCUGGUGUGCUUUUUAUGUAUGUGAUAGUUGUGCAACCCAUCUUGGCUGCAUUUGCUUCGGAUUUGUGUGAGAUUGUAGAAGGAAUCGGGUUGUUUUUAUUUUUUAUUUUUGGCUAUUAAAGAAAAAGAAAAUAGGAGAAAUAAAUGGUUAUUCAUUUGUGUUAGAUUGUAGAAGGAAUUGGGUCGUGUCCAUAGCUGGUGUGCUAAUUAUGUAUUAUGAUUUGAGUCUGCUAUGUUUGUUCACAAAGAUUCAAAAGAUUGUAAAUUGAUAAGGAAGGUUCUGUUCUCUGACUAGCUCCUCAAUUACUUCCCUUUAUUGUUAUUAUGUGAAAAUAGUCUUUUUAAACAAGAAUUUAGAAAAAGAAAUUUAUAUGGAUUAAUUAGAGGGAUUUCCAGCAGAGUUAAAGGAGCACAUGGUGUUUAAAUUUAAGAAAACAAUAUAUGGAUUUAAACAAGUAUCUCAAGUUUGAUAAUACUGUUAUUUUAUUUGGAUUUAAGAAAUGCAAUUUUGACUAGUGUAUAUAUCUCAAUGUUAGAGGGAGCAAAUUUAUAUUAUUUUAUUUUUUAUAUUAAUGAUUUAUUGUUUGGAACUAAUAAUCUUGGUUUACCAUAUGAGACCAAGCUUUCUCAGUAAUAACUUUAAAAUGAAAAAUAUGAGAGAGGCAACUUAUACGAUAAGGAUAGAAAUAUUCCGAUAUAAAUCACAAGGAUUGUUAGGUUGUCUUUAAAAGCGUUUAUCAAUAAGAUUUUAGAAAGAUUUAUAAUAGAUAAAUGUUUAGUAAAGGUGUUUCAAUUCAAAAAUAUGGUAAAUUUAUCCUCAUGCAAAUAAUGCUUGGAAAAAUGAUUAUAUGCCCACUUAUAGAAAAUAUGAUCUACUUGAAAUUGUUACAUAUUCAAAUUAAGAUUUUGUUAGAUGUGUGGAUGAAAACAAAUAUUAAUAUUAUGGUAUUUGUUCCUUUGAGUUAUAGGAGCAGUCUCAAAAAAGCCAGGUACAACUGGGUUGACAUGCAGUCGGCCGAAACAAAAAGGACAUUGGAUAAUUCUUAGGCGCGUUACUAAAUAUAUAUAGUAAGAACAUCAUGAAAUGCGUGAUUGUUUUUGCUGUGGUACAGUACUUUAUAAUAUUAUUUUUUUAACUUAAAUUAAUUUGUUUUUUUAGUGUUUUCACUCAUUUUGAUACAUUGAUAUCAAAAAUAUUAUUUACCAAUGAAAUGUUGGUUUAACGGUUAAAGCACUGCUAUAUCCCUAUAAAGAUGAGAACACAAGUUUGAUCCCCAGAAAACGUGCUUAUUGGGAGAGGCAGCCACGAACCUCAAACGGGACUAGUCUCACCCUUUAAAAGGAUGUGAGAAUACCCGAGUAAAAACCAAAAAAUAAUAUAUCAAAAAUAUUAUUAAGAAAGUAUGUAAAUAUAUAAUAUAUAUUUUUUAAAGUAUUUUUUACGUAGAAAUACACAAAAAUAAUAAUUUAAAAAAAAAUUAUAUAUUGUUUUUAUUUAUUUAUAAGUAGAAAAACACUUUAAAAGCAUUAAAUAUUUCUAAAGAAAAAAAUAUCACCAGCUAUCACACACGGAAAGUUUAAAAUGUCCUUGUUCUGAAGCUUUUUACAAUGUCUGGCACUGUAUUUAAUCAUUCCUUUAUUGCGUGGACCAAAAUGCAAAUUUGAGGGACAUCAAGAAGAAGCCCACUAAGCUGACCUUCCGGCGAGCAGCUUAUCUCAAAUUUAAUACUCCCGAUUUUUUUUUCCUUGGCAUAUAUAAAAAAUUCACUUAGGUUUGCCUAAUUUUUUAUAUUAUUAAAUUAGACUUGUUUUUAUUUUAUAUUAUUAAAAUAAUUAAGCUUAUUAAACAUGUUAACUUAAUGACUCGAGUUUUGGAUUUUUUUUUUUUUAUCCUUAAACGUUACAUUGGUUGGGAGGAGAUUUUUUUAUUGAACCCGAAUCUAAGAUUUAACGAGUUUUGAAUUUGAAGGAUUAGCUCAUGUUUGGAAAAAAAAUUUGGGUUUGCUUGGUUUUUUAUAUUAUUAAAUCAGUAUUUUUUUUUAUAUAUUAUUAAGUUAAAAGAUCUUAUGAAACUCAGGUACUCAAUAACUCAAGUCUUUAGAUUUUUUUUUUUUUAGCUUCUCUAGAAACACUUACGUAGCCUGAGCAUUUUUUUAAUCUACGUUUAAAAUUUUACCAGCCCUUGGUUCAUCGCGAUUGACCUUCCUGGUUUGCUUUGGAAUAGGUUUCAUAGAGUUUCCAUGUUCUCAUGCUCCGUAUAACGGGUAUAGAGUUAGUAAAUGUGGAAGCCGCUAUAAGAGUUUGGGUCCAUUAAACAUUAGAAAUUUAUAACAUUUUUGACCCAUCAAGCACAUUUCACAUUAACCUACAUGUUCAGGGAUUGGAAUUCCCAUACAGCCUUGCCAACGAUUCCAUCAUUGAUGCUUGGCCAUCAAUGGUACCCAAGCUAGACAAGGUUGAAACUAGGUUCAUAUUCUUUUUGUCUUUUAUUUUUAAUUUUUAAAGGUUUAAAGGAUUUAAAAAUACUUUAUAUACAAUAUUUUAACAUCUUUAAUCUGAUUUUACUUUCUUUUUGUUUUUAUACCCCAAAUAUUACUAACAAAAAUUAAAAUAACGACGAAGAUAGAAUUAAACUUGAAGAAAAGGGGGCAUAAAAUUUUUUUUGUAAUUUUUAUUUUCAUUAGUAUUGUCAGAAUAUUCAAAGUUUAGACCAUUCUAAAAAGCAUUUUUCCAACAAGAAAAGGAUAAUUAAAAGAAAAUUACUAUUGUCAGAACAUGAUAGACAUUAUUUCUUAUUUUUAAGUUUCCCAAAAUGCCCCUAACUAUUUCAACCCUAUAUUUUUUUAUAUAAAAAAAAAUUAAUUGAUAUAUCUUUACAUACAAAAUCACACAUGUUCUCAUCUCAUCUUCUCUCAUUAUGGAAAUUAGAAUUUUUUAAGUUUUAUAUUUUGAUGGGCUAAUGCAGUUGAAAUUAGAAUUUUACUAAGGGAUGGACACCUUUUAUAUAUACGUGUGUGUGUGGCAGUGCCAGUAGAAAACGGGAUGACAUAGUAUGACAUUACGUGUGCAAAACUAGUUAGAGUAAAAUUUGCGGCUAUUUGCACUUGAGGUCUUGACCUAGUGGUGGAAGGGGCUUGUCUCCUUCCUCUACAUCAGGAUUCAAACCUCAUUGUGCACGCCUGUUACCACCGCGGUGCUUUACAUGUUCACUGGGUUUACAGGAUGUUCAGUCAACCGUGAGAUUAGUCGUGGUGCACGCAAGCUGACCCGGACACCCACGUAAAUAAAAAAAAAUGCGGCUAAUUUGGUUUUUAGCACAUUUUUUAAAAGAGAUUGGUGAAAUAAAAAAAUAAGUGAAAUAACAAAGUUUGUGAUUAGAAAACUUGAUUUUUAUAAUUUGUUAUUAUUAUGAAUAAUGAUAUCUUUUAAAAAGUAUUAAAUAGGGAGGGAGGAAAGAGAGAGAGAGAGAGAGAGAGAAAAAAAAAACCCUUAAAGCAAUAUCAAAGCUCUAAUUAUGACAUCAUAGAUAUCAUUAGAAAAAAUUUUACGAGACGAAUUCAACGAUGUAAAAAAAAAUCACCAACUGUGACUUGAGUAGGCACACUUGCCGUCAAAAAUAAAAGGAUCAUCCUCUAGUUUCAGGUUGCAAGCAUGGUCCAUUAGAGUCAUUGUUGGUAACAUUAUUUGGUGAUAUUAAAUUCCUCUCAUCAAAAUCUUUCUAAUGAUAUUGAUGAUAUUUCAUGUGUCUUUUAAAUUAUUUUCUUUCUAUUUUUUUUCUCUUUCAUAUUUCUUAUCUCUUGCUUAUUAAUUUUUUAAACAAAUUAUAAAAUCAUGUUUUCUAGUCAUCACAUGUAUGAAUUGAACUAUUUCACACAAAAAAAAAUCAACUUAUUAUUCCAUCAAUAUUUUUAAUAAAUUAUGCAUCAAAAUUUGCAGUGACAAAUGAUCAAAGAAUUCAGUAUGGUUGGUCUUAUGUUUUAUUUUUUAUGAUUGUCUUGUCAAAACUUCGUAUUUUAUUGAGUGUUGAUUGAAUUUAGGAGAAUUUUCCAUAAGUUUUCUAAUUUGUUUUACUUACUUCCUCUUGACAUAAAUGUAUAAUCAUACACAAUAACUGCACGUUAAGUUCAACACCCAUUUCAACAUAAGAGUAUAUUUUCUUUAAAUUAAAGACAUGAUAAUAAUAAUAUAAGAUUGGUUCCCUUUUCUUUUUUACUAGGAUAAUUUAAUAUAGGUCAUAUAUCUUUUUUUUUUUCGGGUUAAGAAAAUCAGAUACCAAAAGUCAAUCAAACAAAUAAUUCACUUUCUCUUGACUUUAACACUAUCAUCUUUUUUUAUGAAAAAAAAUAAAUAAUUUGUUUUUGGAUUAUGGAUGAUAAAUAAAUUUAUAACUCGAUUUUUUACUUUUUUUAAAAAAUAUAUAUAAAAUAGCAAAAAAACAACAAACAAAUAAAAAAUAUUUUUUUUAUGUAUUUGCAUUGUUUUUUUAAUAUUUUGAGCUUCUUUUCAAAAGAAUUAAAAUUUUAAAAAUUACUUUAAAUGCGUUCAUUUUUAAUAUGUUUAUUUGAAAAUCAUUGACUUAUUUUUAUUUUCAAGUCAACAUUGAUGUUAUCUUUAAAAAAAAAUAAAAAAAAACAAAAAACAAUUUAGGCAAUGAUACCAAAAAUAUGAAAAAAAAAAUGAGGGAUCAAAGUGAUUUUGAAUGGCUUAGUCACCAAGUUUGCUUUGGGAUAAAAGCAACUAGGAGGAAAAAAAAAAAAAUUUUUUACUUGUAAGUAGUAAGGGAAUCUCACACAAAAAAAAAAAAAUUAAUUAGAGCAUUAGUGAAAAAUAAUACACACCUCAUACACAUCAAAACACUCUCUCUCGUAAGAAACCUUAAAAGUCUUAUCUCUUUCUUUUUUUUCAAUCCAGCGCCCACCCUCACCUAAAAAAAAACGUACUUAUUUUUCUUCUCCAAACAUUACACUUAGCAUUAAUACACAUAAAAAGCACUGAAACUGGGAGGGGGGCUCUUUGUUUUUUGAACCAAGCUUCAUCUCUCAAAUCCCUUAUUCCUUACUCGAAAAUAAAAGAAAUAACAACAAAGCUCUCCUUCUCCAUUCCAAUGCACCCAAAAACAUUAUGUUCAGCAACUUCUCUCUUCACAUUUUUUUCAAGAGACUAGCCAUCAACUCCUCUAAAUUCAAAACCAACCUACACCAUUGUAAGCUCAACACCAAGUCAACCUCCCCUUAUUUUUCACUGUAAAAGAACCAAACACAAUAGCUUCUGUCUUCUUAAAUAGCACCAAUCAAUGUAAAUCAACACUCUCCCAUAACUGACUAACCCAUUAUUGGCCAUCAUCAAUGUUAGCACCUCUAACAGCCUCCACUUCCUUCAACUCGCCACCAUCGCUGGAACCAACCAUUGUGUACAGCACCUAUUUUCCACUAAGAGAUACAAUAGAAGCAUCCACCAUUUAUAGCAACUAGCAGUUGCUUCGGCUUCAACAAGACCAGCCACAAACGGCUAUGGCAACAGCAUAGCCCCUUUACCACCACGAACUUCAAUAGCUUUAAUUUUAAAGACCAACCAGCAUCCACAAACGCCAGUGGUAGCAAAAGCUUUUUUUUUUUUGUCAUGAAUGAGAUUCACCUUAAUAGUGGUAGUCCUCAAAUCAUGAGCCCUUUCCAUAGAAUAACACUAGAUCAAAUGAUUUCAUGUUUUCCCACAAGCUGACACUAACAGCUAUGUCUAGAACCAGUAGUAGCAGUGAAAAAAGAUGUUGAGAACUAGUAGAGAGAGAGAGAUGAAAGAGAGAGAAAAGAAACGAGAAGAGGGUCGAACUUUUAACCAAGUAGAUCUCCUUCAUUAGAUAUUUGUUUGUCUCACCACCGGUGUAAAAGUAAAGAGAUGGUAGAGAAGCUUCAGAUCUAGCAGCUCAUGCUCAUUCGAUAAUGGCAGAGCAUGAAUCUCUAUGCUGACAAAGAUGGCGGCAUGUGCAUUCUCAUGCCACCAUUGUUCUAGCGAUCCUCUAACCUAAUUCUAGUAGCUCUUAGACAUGUUAAACAUUUUGAAAGGUUGACUCAUAGCCUCAAAAUACAUUUUUGAAAAAUUUUUAUAAUGAUGUAAAAUUUGAGAUGAAAUGCUUAUUAUUGUGUAUAACUUUUGGAUUGUUUGGACACUAUUAAUUGGGUAUGAUUUGUGUUUUGAAUUUGAAAUGAUUUGAUUAUUUGUGUUGAAUUGUGAGCUUUUUUUUUAUGUUGUGAUUGGUAAUUAAACAUUAAAUCUUGAUUUAUGGAUUAUGUUUGAAUUUAUAUUGAUUUAUUUCAAAUUUGAAUGAAGUUCAUGAAAUUAAUAAGAUUCUUGUGGAUUUUUAGUAUUGUUCGAUUUUAAGUUGAUGAACAAUAAUUCAUCUUGAGUUGAUAACAUGUUUAAAAUAGGUUGAUAAAAACACUUUAUUUGUGUUUAGCCAAACACAGCCUUAGUCUAGUUUUAAUAAAUUUUUAAUUUUUGAAAGAUCAUAUUGCAAUUAAUUUUGAAUUCCCACACUUUUUCUUACCCUUUCAUAUUUAAUAUUUGAAAUUGUAACCUACACGUAAGGCCUAUUUUAGUAUUAAAUAAAUUGGUUCUCUUCCAUAAAAAAUAAAAAAAAAUCUUUCUUUUAAAAAAUACAAUUCUAUCUUAAACUACAUAUGGUCAAGUCUCUAUGCGUGUCUAUGGAUUAAAAGGCAUGAUUUAGCAUAGUUAAAUACAAAAAUUUAAGAAAAACAGUUUUGUUGAGAUCUUUACAUGUAUUUAUGGAUUUAAUAACCAGUUUAUAAAAUCCAUAAGAAUUUGGUCUAUAUUUCAAAAAAACACCAAAAAUCUAUUUUGUUUUUUUUAAAAUAAAGGACUGUGAAUUUAUUUGUAAGAUGUAUUAUCGAUAUUGAAUAAAAAGAUAUUUUCUUUUAUUUUCUUGUUUUGACUUUAGAAUGGUUAGGUUUUAACCUAAUACAAUAAAACCUCCUUAUUAAGAAAGACUUCUCUUAAAUCUCAAACAUACCAACUUUUAGAAAACACACCAAUAUCUUAGUUUAUAUCAGACAAAUAAACAAUAUAAUUUACCUUAAGUAAGGUGUACUAGGUGUGAUACGUCAUCUAUAUAAACAACUAGUCCCCUUAUCUAGACUCUUAGACUAGUUAAGGUUACUAGUAACCAAAAUACUAGAUGGAGACUCUAUUUUUUUUACUAAUAAAGGAUGAGAUCCACCUAUCACAACAAAAAUCUCGGUUCGGGAGGACGUUUGCCAUAAAGCAGCAUAUAUGUGACAAAAUACAACAAAUCCUUGUAGGAAGGAAGAGUUGUUUUUAUAUUUAAGUUAGUUUUAGAUGCUCCAAUAAUUAACUAUUAUAUCAUGUUGUUAUAUAACUGAUAAACCUAAAUUUAACAGGCUUAAAAACCCUCUAAAAACUCUUUCAUAAAAAUAUAGUUCCAAGUAGUAGUUUGGGUCUAAGGCUCUGUUUGUUUGCUGGAAAGUAGUUUCCUUUUGGAAAGUAAAUUCCGGGGAAAGUGAAUUCCGAGAAAGUAUUUUCCGAUGUUUGGUAGUGUAAUGGAAAAUGAGUUGAAAAACACUUUCCAGUGUUUGGUUAUGUCAUGGAAAAUGAGCUGGAAAAUAACUUAUUAAUAUUUUAUUUUUCUCAAGUUUAUUAAAAUAAUGAGGAACAAAUCUUACAAAUUAAAAGGGUUGAAUGAUGAGAAUGAAAUUGAAAAAAAUAUAUAUAAUUUCAUAAAUUAUCUUAAAUAAAAUAAAUAAUAAUCAAAAUAAUAGGGAUCAAAUCUAAAAAAUUAAAAAAAUUAAAAAUGAAGAAAUUAAAAUAAUAAUAAUCAACAUUUCAUAAAUUAUUUCAAAUAAAAUAAGUAGCAAUCAAAAGAAUGAGGAUCAAAUUUGAUAAAUAAAAAAUUUCAAUAAAAAAAUGAUAAGGAAAAAGCAAAUAGCAAUUAUAAAAAUAAGGACCAAAGUUAAUAUAAAAAUAAAAUUUUAAGAGAUGAAAUUGAAAAAUAAAUAUUCAAAACAAAAUAUAUAUAGCAAUCAAAAGUUUGAGGAUCAAAUUUGAUAUAAUCAGCAAAUAAUGACAUUUCUAAAUUUUUCACAACUUCCGGAAAGUGUUUUCCCCUCAAAAUUUUCAGGAAAACACUUUCUUGAAAACCAAGUCAGAUUUUCCUUUUACUGGAAAGUGUUUUCCAUUGACCAACUUUCCUACUGGCAAACAAACACAAGAAAGUUUGGAAAGUGAUUUCCCGGAAACCAUUUUCCGGAAAACAAACACAACUAAAGGGAAAACACUUUCCUAAAAACCAAGUCAAAAAAUUUUUUGACUGAAAUUGACUGGAAAGUGUUUUCCGUUGACCGGAAAGUGUUUUCUGUUGACUAGAAAGUAUUUUCCGUUGACCGGAAAGUGUUUUCCGUUGACCAACUUUCCUAAUGAUAAACAAACACAGGAAAGUUUGGAAAAUGGUUUCCCGGAAACUACUUUCCGGGAAACAAACAUGGCCUAAGAAGGAACGAGCCCAGUUUGCUGCUUUGGUUGGUGUUGGGUGUGUUAUCACGACCAGCUAGAGUGUUGAGUGUGCACCCUAGUGCCCUUGGCCCUGGUUACUAGCCUAACACCCCUAUAAGCUUAAGUAUGCACUUGAGUCUAGAGCUGGCACCACCCCUUGGCCUCCUAGGCUCAAGCUCCAAACUUAAGCCCAACGACCAUCAGCCCAAGCAAUGCCUCUAGUCCUAUUUUCCACUCCUAACAGAUAUAGACAACUCGUGUAAGCCCUUAUAUUUUUAAGAACUUUAUCUUUGUCGAUGUUUAUAGAAAACUAAUCAAAAAACCAUCAGCUUCUUUCUGAAACUUGUUUUUCAAAUUUUUAGGUCAUUUCAUAGAACACAAUCAAGACAUAUUUAGGCUUCGAUGCAUAACAAAUCUACUAGUCAUUGCAAGCACUUUUUCCAAACUAGAUUUUCAAUAACUAUCAACCAGGUGCAGGUCCUCACUCAGGCUAUAUUGGCAGCCAAAAGGAAAAACCAAGUCUUACGACCUAAUUAAGUCUUGACGUCCUCAGUAACACACAACGCCCCAGCGCACCGCCUAUGGUCAUUCCAAGCGCCCAUAAAUAAUUGCACUGGGAGUCUAGGUAAAAUGACAUCUAAAGAGUAUUUUUCCUCAACACUUACCAAAUCCCUCAAGGGAUCAUGUGUCAUACACAUGCUUAGAAAGAGCGCUCUAUAUGCAUUACCAUUGGCUACCGUGAUAUGAACAUCAAUUACCAAACUUGCCUUUCCAUACUAAACUCCUCGGGCUUUCUAGAGCCUAACAAAUAAAGGAUCGAGAGAUGAUAUUUAUUUGAACACCCUUAAGAAGAUGUUUAUAACCCCAUCAAGUGCGAGGCACUUCCUUGUCCAAAUAAGUUUUGAAUGCUCAAAUCUCCUAGUCCUAUAUUUCUAUAAAAAUAUCUCUUGACAACUAUGAUGACCUCUCUAACCUGAUAGAACAUAUGCAAAACAUACGUAGUUGUAUAGAGUUGAUCAUUCAAGAUAACGACGUAAUGUGUAAGAUCCUCCUCACAACUCUUAAAGGGUUUAUAUGCAAUUGGUAUAAUAAUUUGGAAUCAGGCUCAAUCAGAGGGUUUAAUGACCUCUACACCAAGCUAUUAGCAUGUUUCAACAUGAGUAUACCCGUCAAGAAAAGCUUCAUAGACAUAUUUGGUAUUACAUAGUUAAAGGAUGUGUUUAUUCAACACAUUUACAUUUGAUAUUACUUAAAUUAGAAGAGUUGCUUGAGUUAAUAGCCUUAGAGGCCUUGAUAAGUAGGGUAAGAAAGCAUGCUCUAUUGAGAAAGCUUUACAUCUCACUAAAUAGAAGUUUGUUUAAGUAGAAGUAAGCAAUGUAAAAUUAAUGCAAGUGGAAAAGGCCAUUGUGCUACUGCAUGGGCCUUCUUGCUUUCAAAAUGACAACUAACAUAAAGGACUUUUCAUGCAAAAUUAUUCUUCUCAUACAAAUGAAAGCUUGAGGAAAAAUCAUAAGGGACCAACUUCAAGGUGCUUAGUGUAUCCUAAAAUUUUACUACUCCCCUGAAUCAAAAUAGGAUCACCUAGUCAAGGUAUUUAGGGUAACCAAGGCGAACACCUACCACCAUUAUGACAUGUUUUGAAAAAUCUCCCUUAUACUUGACACUUAGAUGAUUUUAGGAUUCAUAAUCCUCAAUUAGAAUGUAAGUUUAUUUUUUAAAAUAAAAGUAUUGUAUCACUGACAUACAUUUCCUAUCUACAUAUCCCUAAUGCAAUAUUGGACUAGCAUGACUCUCUAGUGAGGCUUCCAGACCACAUAAAAUCUAUAUGGAUUGAUCUUGAAUCUCUCGCCUCUCUAAUAUAGCCUUUUAUUUGCACGACUUUUUAAUGGGGCUUUUGAGCCUUAUGAAAUCUUUUAGGAUUAAUCUCACAUCUCUUGCCUUUUUAGUGUAGUCUCGGACUCGCAGGACUCUCUAGUGGGGCUUUUAGGCCUCAUAAAAUCUUCAAUGAUUAAUCUUAGAUCUUUUAUCUCUACAAUGAAGUCUUAGAUUAGCACAACUCUUUAGUGGGGCUUCUAAGCCUUAUGAAAUCUCUAGGGAUUGAUCUUGAAUCUCUUGCCUCUUCAAUGUAAUCUUGGACUAGCAUGACUCUCUAGUAGGGCUACAAGGCCUUACCAAAUAUUCAAGGAUUGAUCUCGGAUCUCUCGCCUCUCCAAUGCAAUCUUAGAUUGGCACGACUUUUAAAUGAGGCUCUUAGACCUUAAAAAGUCUCCAAUCAUUGAUCUUAGAUCUUUUGUCUCUCUAAUGUAGUCUCAGACUGGCACGACUCUCUAAUAAAGCUCUCGAACCUCACGAAAUCUUUAGGGAUUAAUCUUGGAUCUCCUACAUCUCUAGUUCAAUCUUGGAAUGACAUGACUCUUUAAUGAGGCUCCUAAGCCUCAUGAAAUCUCUAGGAAUUGAACUUAGAUCUCUUGUUCUCUAUGUAUGUUCUCAGAUAUCUCUCUUUCUCCAUUAUAGCUUUAAACCAACAUAACUCUCUAGAUGAGCUCUCAGGCUUUAUGUUAUCUCCAGGUAUAAUAUAGUAUCUUUCACUAUCUAAUUCACUUUCAGAUUGGCAAAACUCGUCAAUGAGGCUUCCGAGCCUUAUAUUAUCUCUAGGUAUGAUGUUAGAUUUCUUACUCUUGUGUACAAUAUCUCUUCACUAAAGUGAUCCUAAACCCCUCACACCAUGACCAGGAAGGCCAUAGGCCUCCCACUCUUCAGUAAGAUCCUUCUUCAAUGGUAAGCUCCUAAGCCUCACACCAUUUUUAGGUAGGCCACAAGCUUCUCACUAUAGUGUGAUCUUUCUUCAACAUAGGAUUUUAAACCCCAUAUCAUUGAAUAUGAGACCUCGAGCCUCACUCUCUUCAAUAUAAUUUUGGAUCGAUACAGGGCUUUCAAGCCUCAUAUUAUCGCAUUGAAUGACCCUCUAGGGGUUACCCCCAAUCAUUUAUAAAAUUUCAUAAGUAUGAGUUUCUCCUUUUUGGAUUUCCUAAGAAUAUUUUGCAAGCUUCUUCUUUAGGGGUUACCAUCAACCACUUAUAAAUUUUAUAAGUGGAGGCUCAACAUCUUUAGGUUCCUAUAGCCUUUUAAAAAAAAUUAUAAGUAUAGGCUCACCCUUCUUAUGUUUUCUUAGACAUUUAAUUAUUAUUUUUUUAAGUAUGGGUUUAUUUUUAUUAGGUUCCCUCGACCUUUUAAAUAUAUUUUCUAAGUAUAGGCUUCUUUUUCAGAUGCUAGCUCAGAUUUUUAGAAAUUUUUCUAAGUAUAUGUUCAUCCUCUUUAAGUUCACACAACCUUUUAAAAUAAUUUUUUAAAUAUAGGCUCACCCUUCAUAUGUUUUCCCUAGCUAGGUGUGACAUAUCUAUCCUUCCUUAGAGUGUUAUCAUGUCUAGCUAGGGUGGUAGGCAUGCACCUAGUGUCCCUAGAGCUAAAUACGAGCCAAGCAUCCCAAUGGGCUCAAGCAUGUGCCUAAGCUCGACGUUGGCAUCACCCCGACACCCGAGCCUAACGAACAUGGACCUAGACAAUGCAUUUAGGUCCAUUUUUUGCUCCAAACGGGCUUAGGUAACUUACGUGAGCCCAACACGUUUUUUUUUUCAUAUUUUUUACUAAACCAAUAUGUUUUGGAUCCUACUCUCUUUACACCCCUGGGUGUAUAAAAACCUCUUAUAGCCUACCACAUCUUCAUCUCAUUAAUGUUUGUGUAAAAUAUAUUUAUUCAUCAUUAAUGCAUGUAUAAAGGAUAUUUAUCAUUCAUUAAUAUCAUUAGACCAAAAUUACACUUCAGCUCUCCUCUUUACAAAACAACAAGACUCAUGGUCUAUAAAUAUCUCAUAAAUCCUCUAAGUUCAAGGUGGACAAUCUUUUCAUUCUCAAUAUUUUUAGCACAUAUAUUUUUAGAGCAUAUCUUUCUAAAAUGUAUUUGUAUUUUCUCUCUUAAUAAGUUAUUCACUUAAGUAAGCAUCUAAGAGUCCUUACAUUUAUCAAAGAGGAUCUUUUUACAAAUACUAAUUAUAAAUCAUCUUAGCUUACCAGGUGUACUACUAGCAACCUAAACUUUGUAUAUUAAACCAUCAUAGAUUUAACUAUAAAAAUUAAAUCAAAUUAUUAUAACUAAAAAAUUAACUAAUUAUCUAAAAUAUAAAUUUUAUCGGUAAGUUACUUGGACAUUCUUUACUACUUCGUCCAUAACCUAAAAUUUUUAGAAGCUACUUUUCAUCUUCAUUUUUAAUUAUUUGUCAUCAUCCGAUUUCAAGGUAUAAUUAAUUAACGAUAAAUUAUAGAAUAGAUUUAUCUUAUCAAGAAUGGGAGGAACCUCGAAGCAGCUGCUGUUCGCUGAUUGUGCUAGAGUUUGUUUUGCUAGGCCUUAAGCAUUCUUGGCAUUUACGUUGUAUAUUUUACCUAUUUGUUUUGUAAUUAUAAAUUUAUAUAGAAUUUAUUAAAUGGAAAUAAUCUACCCAUAAUUUAUCUUUAUUAACUAAGGACAUGGCUGGUAUUCCUCCAAAGAAGACCAGAAUAAAAGACUAGUCAACGAAUACAUCAUGGCCCAGAAGGUUCUCGAUGAAAAGUAGGCCACUUGGACUGGACGUUUCCAACUUUUCAGCAUCGUCUUCUCUCCCUAUAUACUCCACCGAGCGAUAGCAAAUAUCAGUAUCAAACCACAACAUCAAAAGAAUGGGAGAGGUCAACAAUCAAAAACAGCAUAUUGUUUUGAUCCAUGGUUCAGUUGCAGGAGCCUGGAUAUGGUACAAGGUCAAGCCAAGGCUAGAGGAAGCUGGCCACCGUGUCACAGCUCUUGACAUGGCUGCAUCAGGUGUGAACACACAAAAAAUUGAAGAAGUUCGCACUUUUGAUCAGUAUAAUGAGCCCUUGAUGGAGUUCAUGGCCAAAUUACCUGAAAAUGAAAAGGUUGUAUUGGUGGGGCACAGUUUAGGUGGCUUGAAUCUGGCUUUUGCUAUGGAGAAAUUCCCAGAGAAGGUUUCUCUUGCUGUUUUUCUUACUGCAAUCUUGCCUGAUACCGUGCACCAGCCAUCUUAUAUGUUAGAAAAGGUACCUCUCUGUUAUUAUUAUUAUUAUUAUUAUUACGACCCCUUUUUCCCUUUCUAAUUAAGAUGGUCAUGCACGAAAAUGGGUUGAUCUAUUUUGGUUGGUUUCUCCAUUCCAGUAAAUGCUAUGAAUAACCCGAGGUUUGACGAAAUCUGAUUUUGAAAAUAGAAUAAUUUUUAAGGUCUUGAGACUUUUUUUUCAUCAAAGUAUUUCUUAGUUCACUGAUGAUAUCAAUUCGAACAGUAUCAAAUCUUAUGGAAUCACAACCCUCACAUUAGUUAUUGAAGAGUGUGAGGGAGAUCGGCCUCUUGUAUAUAUGAUCUAAUGAAAGAUCCAAAAGGCUAAAAGUGAUGAUUGGUUGUCGAAAUGCUUGAUUAGCUUCAAUCUCUUGCUUAAUUCAAGAUGGGUUUUAAUGCACACACAUGCAAAUGUAAAAGUCAUUAUCAAUCAUGUUCUAACAUCAAAAUGAUAUUUUGGCCUCCUUGUUAGUUUGCUGAAAUCGGUCCCAGGGACGAAGAGUGGCAAGACACUCUCUUUUCAUUCCAUGGAACCCCUGAAGAACCGCAUACAUGUGUUCACAUGGGAUUCGAGUUUAUGAAGUGCAAGCCCUUUCAUCUUUCCUCCGCUGAGGUACACAAAUCUUUCUUAAAAAUUAUGAAUCUUGUACUAGUUUUCAUUGUAAUAACCAGUUAUGAUACUGUUCUUGUUCGCAGGAUCUCGCUCUGCAGAUGCUCUUAAAUAGACCAGGAUCGAUGUUUGUGGAAAGCCUGUCCAAGGCGAAGAAGUUCACUGAUGAGAGAUAUGGAUCAGUGCCGCGAGUUUAUAUUGUUUGUACUGAGGAUUUAAUGAUGCUUGCCUCAUUUCAGCGGUGGAUGGUUGAGCAAAAUGGGGUAAAGGAAGUGGUGGAGAUUCCUGCAGAUCAUAUGCCAGUUUUUUCGACGCCUACAGAACUCUGCCAUUCUAUACUGGAGUUGGCCCGCAAGCAUGCUUAGAUUGC